CGAUUACUCAAUUAGAGACAAGACUGAUUUAAUGCAGUUUGUUACUCAAUUGAUUUUGUUGUUGAUUUUGCUAAGAUUGUUUUUCAUUUCAUGUAUUCUUUUUAUUUAAGUUACAUGCAAUCUUAUUUCUCAUUUGAUAUUCGAGGCGUUAUCAAAUACCAAUAUCAUAGUGAUGAUGUGCUUAAUACAUGCAGUAUUUCUGUAGAGAAGCAAUUGACUUGGUUUGAAGGACGCGUUCUUGAUUCUCCAAAGUUAAAUGUAGGAAUAGUGAUAAUUGCACCCCUAUUAUGGGAACGUCGAACUUUAACAACAAGCUGCUGUGUUUUGGGCAUUGAGAGUUCUAUAAAGAUUGCUGAAAUGCAAAAAUAGUGGAGGAGGUAAAACCACCUUCUUAUUGGCACUUGCCUGAAAACUGGAUAAAUCCCUUACGGCUGCAGGGGAGAUUUCAUACAAUGGUUACAAGCUAGAUCAGUUUGUUCCUCAAAAAAUUAUACUCCAGCGUACAUAAGCCAACACGACCUUCACUUACCUGAGAUGACUGUAAGAGAAACAAUUGAGUUUUCAGCCCGCUGUCAACGUAUUGGAAGCAGAGCUGAUAUAAUGCUAGAGGUUAGCAGGAGAGAAGGAAGCAGGAAUUGUUCUUGAUCCAGAUAUUGACACCUACAUGAAGGCAAUCUCAGUUGAAGGACAAAAGAAAAACCUCCAAACUGACUAUGUUUUGAAGUUGAUCUUCUGUGGUUUUUCACUAUUAAUCCUAAGCUGUUACAAUAUGAAGUGAAUGCCAGAUGCGGCAUGUCUCAACACCAGAUGAACCAACUGAUGGAAUUUAAUGUAUUUUUGUUGUCCAACCAUUUUUGUAACCAGUAUCAAAAGCAACUUUGGUUAGAAUGUUGAAUUUUUGAAAAUCGUAAAUAGCCAAGCUUAGUCUGUUUGGAACUUCGAUUUUUGAAACAUGUAAAUAUAUGAAUCUGGUUAGAACACCAGAUUUUGAAAUAUGUAAAUAUACAUCGUUCAAUGAAAAAUGUACGCAUAUACCCGUAGCAUCCUGCGAGAUGUCUAGCUAGACUCCAAGUUAACCUGUAUGGCAGUUUAUCAGUUCAGUUUAU